ACCGAGAUUCCCCCAGUAGCGGCGAGCGAACGGGGAGCAGCCCAGAGCCUGAAUCAGUGUGUGUGUUAGUGGAAGCGUCUGGAAAGGCGUGCGAUACAGGGUGACAGCCCCGUACACAAAAAUGCACAUACUGUGAGCUCGAUGAGUAGGGCGGGACACGUGGUAUCCUGUCUGAAUAUGGGGGGACCAUCCUCCAAGGCUAAAUACUCCUGACUGACCGAUAGUGAACCAGUACCGUGAGGGAAAGGCGAAAAGAACCCCGGCGAGGGGAGUGAAAAAGAACCUGAAACCGUGUACGUACAAGCAGUGGGAGCACGCUUAGGCGUGUGACUGCGUACCUUUUGUAUAAUGGGUCAGCGACUUAUAUUCUGUAGCAAGGUUAACCGAAUAGGGGAGCCGAAGGGAAACCGAGUCUUAACUGGGCGUUAAGUUGCAGGGUAUAGACCCGAAACCCGGUGAUCUAGCCAUGGGCAGGUUGAAGGUUGGGUAACACUAACUGGAGGACCGAACCGACUAAUGUUGAAAAAUUAGCGGAUGACUUGUGGCUGGGGGUGAAAGGCCAAUCAAACCGGGAGAUAGCUGGUUCUCCCCGAAAGCUAUUUAGGUAGCGCCUCGUGAAUUCAUCUCCGGGGGUAGAGCACUGUUUCGGCAAGGGGGUCAUCCCGACUUACCAACCCGAUGCAAACUGCGAAUACCGGAGAAUGUUAUCACGGGAGACACACGGCGGGUGCUAACGUCCGUCGUGAAGAGGGAAACAACCCAGACCGCCAGCUAAGGUCCCAAAGUCAUGGUUAAGUGGGAAACGAUGUGGGAAGGCCCAGACAGCCAGGAUGUUGGCUUAGAAGCAGCCAUCAUUUAAAGAAAGCGUAAUAGCUCACUGGUCGAGUCGGCCUGCGCGGAAGAUGUAACGGGGCUAAACCAUGCACCGAAGCUGCGGCAGCGACGCUUAUGCGUUGUUGGGUAGGGGAGCGUUCUGUAAGCCUGUGAAGGUGUGCUGUGAGGUAUGCUGGAGGUAUCAGAAGUGCGAAUGCUGACAUAAGUAACGAUAAAGCGGGUGAAAAGCCCGCUCGCCGGAAGACCAAGGGUUCCUGUCCAACGUUAAUCGGGGCAGGGUGAGUCGACCCCUAAGGCGAGGCCGAAAGGCGUAGUCGAUGGGAAACAGGUUAAUAUUCCUGUACUUGGUGUUACUGCGAAGGGGGGACGGAGAAGGCUAUGUUGGCCGGGCGACGGUUGUCCCGGUUUAAGCGUGUAGGCUGGUUUUCCAGGCAAAUCCGGAAAAUCAAGGCCGAGGCGUGAUGACGAGGCACUACGGUGCUGAAGCAACAAAUGCCCUGCUUCCAGGAAAAGCCUCUAAGCAUCAGGUAACAUCAAAUCGUACCCCAAACCGACACAGGUGGUCAGGUAGAGAAUACCAAGGCGCUUGAGAGAACUCGGGUGAAGGAACUAGGCAAAAUGGUGCCGUAACUUCGGGAGAAGGCACGCUGAUACGUAGGUGAAGCGACUUGCUCGUGGAGCUGAAAUCAGUCGAAGAUACCAGCUGGCUGCAACUGUUUAUUAAAAACACAGCACUGUGCAAACACGAAAGUGGACGUAUACGGUGUGACGCCUGCCCGGUGCCGGAAGGUUAAUUGAUGGGGUUAGCGCAAGCGAAGCUCUUGAUCGAAGCCCCGGUAAACGGCGGCCGUAACUAUAACGGUCCUAAGGUAGCGAAAUUCCUUGUCGGGUAAGUUCCGACCUGCACGAAUGGCGUAAUGAUGGCCAGGCUGUCUCCACCCGAGACUCAGUGAAAUUGAACUCGCUGUGAAGAUGCAGUGUACCCGCGGCAAGACGGAAAGACCCCGUGAACCUUUACUAUAGCUUGACACUGAACAUUGAGCCUUGAUGUGUAGGAUAGGUGGGAGGCUUUGAAGUGUGGACGCCAGUCUGCAUGGAGCCGACCUUGAAAUACCACCCUUUAAUGUUUGAUGUUCUAACGUGGACCCGUGAUCCGGGUUGCGGACAGUGUCUGGUGGGUAGUUUGACUGGGGCGGUCUCCUCCUAAAGAGUAACGGAGGAGCACGAAGGUUGGCUAAUCCUGGUCGGACAUCAGGAGGUUAGUGCAAUGGCAUAAGCCAGCUUGACUGCGAGCGUGACGGCGCGAGCAGGUGCGAAAGCAGGUCAUAGUGAUCCGGUGGUUCUGAAUGGAAGGGCCAUCGCUCAACGGAUAAAAGGUACUCCGGGGAUAACAGGCUGAUACCGCCCAAGAGUUCAUAUCGACGGCGGUGUUUGGCACCUCGAUGUCGGCUCAUCACAUCCUGGGGCUGAAGUAGGUCCCAAGGGUAUGGCUGUUCGCCAUUUAAAGUGGUACGCGAGCUGGGUUUAGAACGUCGUGAGACAGUUCGGUCCCUAUCUGCCGUGGGCGCUGGAGAACUGAGGGGGGCUGCUCCUAGUACGAGAGGACCGGAGUGGACGCAUCACUGGUGUUCGGGUUGUCAUGCCAAUGGCACUGCCCGGUAGCUAAAUGCGGAAGAGAUAAGUGCUGAAAGCAUCUAAGCACGAAACUUGCCCCGAGAUGAGUUCUCCCUGACCCUUUAAGGGUCCUGAAGGAACGUUGAAGACGACGACGUUGAUAGGCCGGGUGUGUAAGCGCAGCGAUGCGUUGAGCUAACCGGUACUAAUGAACCGUGAGGCUUAACCUU
rnacentral:rRNA from 1 species